rnacentral:rRNA from 1 species
UACGGGGGGAGCAAGCGUUGUUCGGAUUUACUGGGCGUAAAGGGCGCGUAGGCGGCCAGCACAAGUCAGUUGUGAAAUCUCCGAGCCUAACUCGGAACGGUCAACUGAUACUGUGCGGCUAGAGUGCGGAAGGGGCAACUGGAAUUCUUGGUGUAGCGGUGAAAUGCGUAGAUAUCAAGAGGAACACCUGCGGCGAAGGCGGGUUGCUGGGCCGACACUGACGCUGAGGCGCGAAAGCCAGGGGAGCGAACGGG